GACGAACGCUGGCGGCGUGCUUAACACAUGCAAGUCGAACGGAAAGGCCCUGCUUGCAGGGUACUCGAGUGGCGAACGGGUGAGUAACACGUGGGUGAUCUGCCCUGCACUUCGGGAUAUGCCUUGGGAACUGGGUCUAAUACCGGAUAGGAGCCAUUUUUAGGGUGAUGGUUGGAAAGUUUUUUCGGUGUGGGAUGAGCUCGCUGCCUAUCAGCUUGUUUGUGGGGUAAUGGCCUACCAAGGCGGCGACGGGUAGCCGGCCUGGGAGGGUGGACGGCCACAUUGGGACUGAGAUACGGCCCAGACUCCUACGGGAGGCAGCAGUGGGGAAUAUUGCACAAUGGGCGCAAGCCUGAUGCAGCGAAGCCGCGUGGGGGAUGACGGCCUUCGGGUUGUAAACUCCUUUCGCUAGGGACGAAGCUUUUUGUGACGGUACCUAGAUAAGAAGCACCGGCUAACUACGUG
rnacentral:rRNA from 1 species